CACGAGAGAACACAUAAAGGAUCUCGAUUCAUAUAUAAUAUCUCUCAAUUCAUUAUGAAUCACAAUAUUAUAAUUCCAAAAAAUCAUUAUUCAUUUGGAUAGUAGAUAGCAAAAAGAAACAUUGAGGAUAAAAGAUCUCGAUUCAUAUAGGGUAAAUCUCAAGUUAUAAAUAUCGAAAAAUUAAGACAAAAAUCAUGGUUAGAUGAAACUCAUCCAAAUUUAAA
rnacentral:lncRNA from 1 species